UAGAGCAUGAAAAUUUUACAGUAUAAAUUGAUUAACAUUUUUUGUUUCUUACAUACAAAACAAGAAAAUAUGUCUAAAAAUAUCCUGUUUAAUUGUGCUAUUAUCCUCUUCCUUUCAUUAUUUCUUGUAACCUACUUCGAACGUUUUGGUCCUUGCAGUUCUGACUCUGAUUGUCCAAGUUUUCUAUGUGACCACGAUGGAGUUAUGAAGUGUUUUUCAAAUGGUUGUUCCUGUGUGGAUCCCAGUGAUUAAGUCAAAAAAUAUAUUUAUGUUUUUUUUAGGAGAUCUUUAUGUUUAUUAUUGUAAAAUUUAUUUGCAUAUCAUCAUAAUCUUAUCUUAUAACUCUAAUAUAUCAUUUGUCUAGCGCUAAGAUUUAGAAUAAGCUUGUACUAUUCAUAUUUUUUUAUUCAGCAAAAACAAAAAAUCAUUUUAGGUUCUUUGCCAAAAUGUUGUUGUCUAUCUUGAUUUUAGAAGUUAGGAAAAAUACAAUGUCUCUGAUGAUUAUAGUUAGUCACUUCAAUAAAUGAUAUGUAAUAUGAUUAUAAGCAUAUUAAAUUAUGCAAGUGUUUGUAGCCUAUGUUCAUUCAAUUAAUGGUUAAAUAUGUUUUUAUUCCAA